AUUGAACGCUGGCGGCAGGCCUAACACAUGCAAGUCUAGCGAGCGGCGGACGGGUGAGUAAUGUCUGGGAAACUGCCUGAUGGAGGGGGAUAACUACUGGAAACGGUAGCUAAUACCGCAUACCAUCAGAUGUGCCCAGAUGGGCUUAGGUAGUAGGUGGGGUAACGGCUCACCUAGGCGACGGGCCCUAGCUGGUCUGCGAGGAUGACCAGCCACACUGGAACGGAGACACGGCCCAGACUCCGACGGGAGGCAGCAGUGGGGAAUAGUGGACAAUGGGCGAAAGCCUGAUGCAGCCAGGGCGCGUGUGGGAAGAAGGCCUUAGGGUGGUAAAGCACUGUCAGCGGGGAGGCGUUACCCGCAGAAGAAGCACCGGCUAACUCCGUGCCAGCAGCCGCGGUAAUAC
rnacentral:rRNA from 1 species